GUCUAAUCUUAUCUUUCCAUUGUCAAGAGUUGUUUGCAAUUGUCAUUUUUUUCAUACAUGCUUUGUAGCUUGGAAAUUGAGGGGGAGAAAGAUAGGCAUGCUGUCACUUGAUGCUCUACCUUGAGCCAGCUGAUUUAUUUCACGCUUGUUUGUAUGGCCAUGUGGAUGGGUUAAAUUAACUCUGUUCUCGGUGUCAGCUGGUUUUGUAUUUUUAAGGAUAUUCUUUUUUUUUAUUUUUAUUUUCACCUUCUUCCAUUUUCAAGCCAAUAAGAACGUGAAGUUCCAUUUGGUAUAUUUUUG
rnacentral:misc_RNA from 1 species